rnacentral:pre_miRNA from 1 species
AGUGGGGUAAUUGGGUCAAAUGAUGAUUCCAUUCCAAGGAAUCUCCAGACUGCUUUCCAGAGUGGUUGCACCAGUUUGCAGUCCCAAUAGUUGA